GCGGUUAGCUUCGUAGAGAGCCUGCGGAGGAUCAUUA
rnacentral:rRNA from 1 species